UACGGAGGGUGCAAGCGUUGUUCGGAAUCAUUGGGCGUAAAGAGCGUGUAGGCGGUCGGGUAAGUCAGAUGUGAAAUCCCUUGGCUUAACCAAGGAAGUGCAUUUGAAACUACCCGGCUUGAGUACGGGAGGGGGAAGUGGAAUUCCCGGUGUAGAGGUGAAAUUCGUAGAUAUCGGGAGGAACACCGGUGGCGAAGGCGGCUUCCUGGACCAAUACUGACGCUGAGGCGCGAAGGCGUGGGGAGCAAACGGG
rnacentral:rRNA from 1 species